rnacentral:lncRNA from 1 species
AUCCGAAGUCCAGAUCCAGACCAAUCCAAAAUCUGAAAUUAGAUCAAUCCGAAGUCAGAUCCAAGCCAAUCUAAAGCUCAAAAUUAGGCUAAUCUGAAGUAUAGAUCAAGGUCGAUUUGAAGUCAGAAUCAAAAGUCAAAAUCAAGGCUGAAUCAAGAUAUAGAACAAAGCAAAAUCAUCCACUAUUCUAUUUCCUUCUUACGGGGUAAUAGAUCCUUGAGCACACGAGCCAAAGCAAAAAUUAAACAAGGUUAAGAUCAUCAGAGGAUCAAUCUGAGCGAAUCAAGAUCAGGCUAUCAAGCAAAAGGCCAAUAGUUGAGAUGAAGGAUCAAAGACUGGAGUGAAGCUCGACAUCAAGAUGAAGUCCAAGGUCGAUCUGAGAAGGCCGAGCUCCUGAAAAUCAUGAAGAAGGUUUCUCACUUUUCAGUGAGUCCAUGGUCCAUCAAGAAGGCCCCUCACUUUUCAACGAGCCAACGGCC